GAAGGAUCCCGACGACUGGGGGUAGAGGGAAGAGAUCUUUGCAGGGCAUGAAGACAAACCAGUAUGGCUCUGAAGCCGGCGAGACGGACCCGCUGGACCGAGUGCCUGCCCCGUGCCAUGCUCACUCCAUGAAUUUUGACUCGCUCGAUAUUGUAUCAUCACUACGAAGUUCAUUGCAGAAGCACAGAGAGGCUGCAACAUUUGCCUCACAUCACACAGCUCAUUAGUGCUGGGGCCAACAUUCACAUAAACCUUUGGAUUUCAGAACACACACUCUUCUUGCUACAAAGGGCAGAGGCAGGCACUUGUGGAGAGAUAAGUGAACAAAAGACCCAGCCCAGAGGUCCCCGAUGCCUCACCUUCAGGAAGUGCCCAGCCGAGUGGAGAGAUACUGAGACAGCUACAGAGCACUGGAGCAAUGGAGAGCAAGAUGAAGAAGAUAAUGGGACAGUCCAAAAAUUGAGUGUCCCCUGGAAUCUUGUGAUGGGAAAAGGAAAAGGCUGGGGCACUGUCACCAGCCAGAGCAGGAGCUUGUGUCCCACAGAGAGACUUUAUACAGUUCAGAAACUUGUCAGACUAUCCUCUGGCCAAAAACCAAGGAUGGAGGACCCGGGACCGCAUCGUG
rnacentral:lncRNA from 1 species